UACAGGGGGGGCAAGCGUUGUUCGGAAUUACUGGGCGUAAAGGGUCUGUAGGUGGCCAACUAAGUCAGACGUGAAAUCCCUCAGCUUAACUGGGGAACUGCGUCUGAUACUGGAUGGCUCGAGUGUGGGAGAGGAAUGCGGAAUUCCAGGUGUAGCGGUGAAAUGCGUAGAUAUCUGGAGGAACACCGGUGGCGAAGGCGGCACUCUGGGCCGGUACUGACGCUGAGGAGCGAAAGCGUGGGGAGCAAACAGG
rnacentral:rRNA from 1 species